rnacentral:rRNA from 1 species
AUUGAACGCUGGCGGCAGGCUUAACACAUGCAAGUCGAGCGAGCGGCGGACGGGUGAGUAAUGUCUGGGCAACUGCCUGAUGGAGGGGGAUAACUACUGGAAACGGUAGCUAAUACCGCAUACCCUCAGAUGUGCCCAGAUGGGAUUAGCUAGUAGGUGGGGUAAUGGCCCACCUAGGCGACGAUCCCUAGCUGGUCUCAGAGGGUGACCGGUAACACUGUAAAUGAGACACGGUCCAGACGCCUAAGGGUGGCAGCAGUGGGGAAGAUUGCACAAUGGGAGAAAGCCUGAUGCAGCCAUGCCGCGGGUGUGAAGAAGGCCUUCGGGUUGUAAAGCACUUUCAGCGAGGAGGCGUGACUCGCAGAAGAAGCACCGGCUAACGCCGUGCCAGCCGGCGCGGUAAUAC